rnacentral:rRNA from 1 species
AGUGAACGCUGGCGGUAGGCCUAACACAUGCAAGUCGAGCGGCAGCACAGUAAGAGCUUGCUCUUACGGGUGGCGAGUGGCGGACGGGUGAGGAAUACAUCGGAAUCUACUUUUUCGUGGGGGAUAACGUAGGGAAACUUACGCUAAUACCGCAUAAGACCUACGGGUGAAAGCAGGGGAUCUUCGGACCUUGCGCGAUUGAAUGAGCCGAUGUCGGAUUAGCUAGUUGGCGGGGUAAAGGCCCACCAAGGCGACGAUCCGUAGCUGGUCUGAGAGGAUGAUCAGCCACACUGGAACUGAGACACGGUCCAGACUCCUACGGGAGGCAGCAGUGGGGAAUAUUGGACAAUGGGCGCAAGCCUGAUCCAGCCAUACCGCGUGGGUGAAGAAGGCCUUCGGGUUGUAAAGCCCUUUUGUUGGGAAAGAAAAGCAGCAGGUUAAUACCCCGCUGUUCUGACGGUACCCAAAGAAUAAGCACCGGCUAACUUCGUG